rnacentral:rRNA from 1 species
AUUUAAAAAUUUAAUAGGUUUAUUUGAAUAAAAGAUUUUACUCAAAAUAUUGAUUGUUUAUUAUUGUUAAAGAACAAAUAGGUUUAUUUAUAGAGCAUAGUAUAGUGAUAGAAAAUUAUUAAAUGUAAAAAAGAAGGUUUUAUUUUCCGUACCUUGUGUAUCAGGGUUUACUAAAAAAAGUUAAUUAUUUAAUUUUCUCGAAUUAUGAAGAGCUAUAAUUCUAUUUUUAUUAAUGUAGCAUAAUUACUAUAAAUAUUGUUAUAGAAAUGAAACGUUAUUCGUUUCAUAAUAUAUCUAGUUUUCCAAGAAAUUAAUUUAAUUUAGUAUCUAUAUUUAAUUAAGGUGCGUAAUCACUUUAAUUUAAAUAGGUUAAUAUAGCCUAAGGGAAGAGCUUUAGGCUAAAUGCUUAAAAUUGAUUGUUUUUAUAAUAAUAAGUAGGAUUAGAAUUUUCCAUUUUUAAGAGGAUGUUAUAUUUCAUUAUUAUGAAUUAAUUAUUUAUAUAAGAUUUAAGUUGUAUAUUGGAUUUUAUUCUUUAAUUUAACAAGAUUAGGAAUAAUGGUAGGAUUAGUAAAUCAAAGUUGUAAAGAAAAGAUUAUAGCAAGGUUAGGGUAAGGAACUCGGCAAAUUAUUUCUCACCUGUUUAUUAAAAACAUGUCCUUUUGCUAAUUUUUUAAGGUCUGGCCUGCUCAAUGAAUGUUAAAUAGCCGCAGUAUUUUGACUGUGCAAAGGUAGCAUAAUCAUUAGUUUUUUAAUUGAAAGCUGGAAUGAAUGGUCGGAUGAGGAAAUUUCUGUCUCACUUUAAUUUUUAUAGAAUUUUAUCUUUAAGUUAAAAAGCUUAAAUGUAAUAGAAAGACGAGAAGACCCUAUAGAGUUUAAUAGAUGAAAAUAUAGUAAAUUUAAGGUUUUUAUUAUUAUUAUGAUUUAAUCUAUUUUGUUGGGGUGACAGAAGAAUUGAUUUAACUUCUUUAUAUUGAACCACUAAUUAGUGAAUACAUGAUCCUCAGUUAGGGAUUAAAAGAAUAAAUUACCUUAGGGAUAACAGCGUAAUUCUUUCAGAGAGUUCUUAUCAAUGAAAGGGAUUGCGACCUCGAUGUUGGAUUAAAGUAAAUUUUCGGUGCAGUAGCUGAAAUAUUAAGUCUGUUCGACUUUUAAAACUUUACAUGAUCUGAGUUUAAACCGGCGUGAGCCAGGUUGGUUUCUAUCUUUUAUAAAUAAAAUAUUUUAGUACGAAAGGACCAAGUAUUUAAAUAAAAUUUUCUAUGAUGAAUAAAAUU